rnacentral:rRNA from 1 species
AGUUGUUGCAGUUAAAAAGCUCGUAGUUGAACCUUGGGCCUGGUUGGCCGGUCCGCCUCACCGCGUGCACUGGUCCGACCGGGUCUUUCCUUCUGGGGAGCCGCAUGCCCUUCACUGGGUGUGUCGGGGAACCAGGACUUUUACUUUGAAAAAAUUAGAGUGUUCAAAGCAGGCCUAUGCUCGAAUACAUUAGCAUGGAAUAAUAGAAUAGGACGUGUGGUUCUAUUUUGUUGGUUUCUAGGACCGCCGUAAUGAUUAAUAGGGAUAGUCGGGGGCAUCAGUAUUCAAUUGUCAGAGGUGAAAUUCUUGGAUUUAUUGAAGACUAACUACUGCGAAAGCAUUUGCCAAGGAUGUUUUCAUUAAUCAGUGAACGAAAGUUAGGGGAUCGAAGACGAUUAU